rfam:Loxodonta africana unplaced genomic scaffold scaffold_10, whole genome shotgun sequence.
GAAUUGGUGGUUCAGUGGUAGAAUUUUUGCCUUCCAUGCCAGAGACCUGGGUUUGAUUCCCAGCCAACACA